GAGGUUGUGGCUCAGUGGUAGAGCACUUGCUUAGCACGCGUGAGGCACUGGGUUUGAUCCCCAGCACCACA
rnacentral:tRNA from 1 species